GAUGAAGAACGUAGCAAAAUGCGAUACUUGGUGUGAAUUGCAGAAUCCCGUGAACCAUCGAGUUUUUGAACGCAAGUUGCGCCCGAAGCCUUUUGGCCGAGGGCACGUCUGCCUGGGCGUCACGCAUCGCGUCGCCCCCCACAAUUCUCCGUAAAGGGAACAUGUGUUUUGGGGGCGGAUAUUGGUCUCCCGUGCUCAUGGCGUGGUUGGCCGAAAUAGGAGUCCUUUCGAUGGACGCACGAACUAGUGGUGGUCGUAAAAACCCUCGUCUUUUGUUUCGUGCUGUUGCUCGCAAGGUAAACUCUUUAAAAACCCCAAUGUGUCGUCUCUUGACGACGCUUCGACCGCGACCCCAGGUCAGGCGGGACUACCCGAUGAGUUUAAGCAUAUCAAUAAGCGGAGGA
rnacentral:misc_RNA from 1 species